rnacentral:SRP_RNA from 1 species
UGUCGGUCCUCCCGCAACGAUAAGUCGUGAACUUGGUCAGGCCUGGAAGGGAGCAGCCACAGCGACCUCUUCGUGUGCCGGGAUGUGGCUGGCGGAG